rfam:Candidatus Gottesmanbacteria bacterium RIFCSPLOWO2_01_FTLL_46_21 rifcsplowo2_01_scaffold_48597, whole genome shotgun sequence.
GCCCCCAUAGCUCAACGGAUAGAGCACCUCUCUUCUAAAGAGGCGAUGGAGGUUCGAUUCCCCCUGGGGGCG